rnacentral:rRNA from 1 species
UACGAAGGGGGCUAGCGUUGCUCGGAAUCACUGGGCGUAAAGGGUGCGUAGGCGGGUCUUUAAGUCAGGGGUGAAAUCCUGGAGCUCAACUCCAGAACUGCCUUUGAUACUGAGGAUCUUGAGUUCGGGAGAGGUGAGUGGAACUGCGAGUGUAGAGGUGAAAUUCGUAGAUAUUCGCAAGAACACCAGUGGCGAAGGCGGCUCACUGGCCCGAUACGUGACGCUGAGGC